GCCGCCUUAGCUCAGUCGGCAGAGCAUCUCACUCGUAAUGAGAAGGUCGUCAGUUCGAUUCUGACAGGCGGCU
rnacentral:tRNA from 7 species